rnacentral:snoRNA from 1 species
UGUGCAGGACUUGUCUAAAUAGGCAUACAACUUUCAUUGUGUUACUUGCCACCUGAACUUGUUCCCUGCUAGACCAAUCUGAGAAAAAUGGGCAGUUGAGUUUGGCCUGUCUUGUGGUUCCCUCAACAAUCAUUUUUCCCAUAGUU